CUUCCUAUUUCUCUUUGAGUUCCUCACACUAUCUUCUUGAAUAACUACUUGAUGAACUCUUCUUUUUUCAAAACUUUUGAAAACUUGAUUCUCUCUAUUAAUCCUUCAUAUUUAUUGGCUCAAAGAUAUCUAUAAUUAAUACUCUAGCUGUUGAAAGCUUAAAAAUAGUUGUUAAAAUAAAUUUAGAUAUGUUUUAAAAAUUUUGAAAAACUAGUCAUUAUUCUGUCAGAAUUCUGUAAGUUGGCUCAUCCAGGCUCUUAGUUGGCUAACCCUCAACUUUAAGUCGGCUAAG
rnacentral:lncRNA from 1 species